CCUACGGGUGGCUGCAGUGGGGGAUAUUGGACAAUGGGGGGAACCCUGAUCCAGCGACGCCGCGUGAGUGAAGAAGUAUCUCGGUAUGUAAAGCUCUAUCAGCCGGGAAGCAGAAAUGCCGGUACCUGAGUAAGAAGCCCCGGCUAACUACGUGCCAGCAGCCGCGGUAAUACGUAGGGGGCAAGCGUUAUCCGGAAUUCCUGGGUGUAACGGGAGCGUAGACGGUGAUGUAAGUCUGGGGUGAAUGCGGGGUCCCAACCCCCGGACUGCCCUGGAAACUAUGGGACUGGAGUGCAGGAGAGGUGAGCAGAAUGCCUAGUGUAGCGGUGAAAUGCGUAGAUAUUAGGAGGAACACCAGGGGCGAAGGCGGCACACUGGACUGUAACUGACGUUGAGGCUCGAAAGCGUGGGGAGCAAACAGGAUUAGAUACCCGAGUAGUC
rnacentral:rRNA from 1 species